GACGAACGCUGGCGGCGUGCUUAACACAUGCAAGUCGAACGGUGAUGCUCCAGCUUGCUGGCGUGGAUCAGUGGCGAACGGGUGAGUAACACGUGAGCAACCUGCCCCAGACUCUGGAAUAAGCGCUGGAAACGGCGUCUAAUACUGGAUACGAAACUGGCCCGCAUGGGCAUGGUUUGGAAAGUUUUUCGGUUUGGGAUGGGCUCGCGGCCUAUCAGCUUGUUGGUGAGGUAAUGGCUCACCAAGGCGACGACGGGUAGCCGGCCUGAGAGGGCGACCGGCCACACUGGGACUGAGACACGGCCCGGACUCCUACGGGAGGCAGCAGUGGGGAAUAUUGCACAAUGGGCGAAAGCCUGAUGCAGCGACGCCGCGUGAGGGAUGACGGCCUUCGGGUUGUAAACCUCUUUCAGCAGGGAAGAAGCGAAAGUGACGGUACCUGCAGAAGAAGCACCGGCUAACUACGUG
rnacentral:rRNA from 1 species